GUGUGUGUGUAUAAUGCAGUGUGUUUGUGUAGUGUGUGUGUAUAAUGUAGUGUGUGUAUAAUGCACACUACACAAACACACUGCAUUAUAUACACAGUGU